UACGUAGGGGGCAAGCGUUAUCCGGAUUUACUGGGUGUAAAGGGAGCGUCGGCGGUAAUGCAAGUCAGAAGUGAAAGCCCGGGGCUCAACUCCGGGACUGCUUUUGAAACUGUGUUGCUAGAUUGCAGGAGAGGUAAGUGGAAUUCCUAGUGUAGCGGUGAAAUGCGUAGAUAUUAGGAGGAACACCAGUGGCGAAGGCGGCUUACUGGACUGUAAAUGACGCUGAGGCUCGAAAGCGUGGGGAGCAAACAGG
rnacentral:rRNA from 1 species